rnacentral:siRNA from 1 species
CAAAAUGGGUCAGAAUUCAUGGGU